rnacentral:rRNA from 1 species
AGCGAACGCUGGCGGCAGGCCUAACACAUGCAAGUCGAACGAACCUUUCGGGGUUAGUGGCGGACGGGUGAGUAACACGUGGGAACGUGCCUUUAGGUUCGGAAUAACUCAGGGAAACUUGUGCUAAUACCGAAUGUGCCCUUCGGGGGAAAGAUUUAUCGCCUUUAGAGCGGCCCGCGUCUGAUUAGCUAGUUGGUUGAGGUAAUGGCUCACCAAGGCGACGAUCAGUAGCUGGUCUGAGAGGAUGAUCAGCCACAUUGGGACUGAGACACGGCCCAAACUCCUACGGGAGGCAGCAGUGGGGAAUCUUGCGCAAUGGGCGAAAGCCUGACGCAGCCAUGCCGCAUGAAUGAUGAAGGUCUUAGGAUUGUAAAAUUCUUUCACCGGGGACGAUAAUGACGGUACCCGGAGAAGAAGCCCCGGCUAACUUCGUG